UGCCAAGGUUGUGAGUUUUGAAGCCA
rnacentral:piRNA from 1 species